UUUUGUUCCCAUCUUAUAGGAGACCCAAGAGGAUGACUGACUGGGCCAGCCAGGAAGUGGAAGAGCUAGGAUUUGAACCCAGUUCUGGCCCCCAAUCCAGGACUCUUUCCCUCCGGAGUAUAGCAAAAGUCACCCCGACUCGAGCCUGUGUAUCCGUACAUAAACCACCACAUCUUCUCUUGGAUGGCUUUAUUCCAAUUGCGUUUCAUUGUCUUCUCCUUUUUUGCUCAGCACCCAGCACAUCCCGAGGCCAUCCAUGAGAAAACUUGAAAUAACACAAAUGGUACCAGGAGGGACUCCAGAAAGCUGGCAAUAAGAUGGGGUUUUGAGACGGGAUUAUUCACCAUGGCUGGCAAGGAGGAUCACAAUCCAAGUGAACGGCAAGCAAAUUCACCUCAUAGGAACAGAGUCCUAUUCCAAGUACGGGCUGGCCUUUCUGGCCACAGAGCUUCUGCCAACCUCACUCUCUAAAAGCUUAUGAAGUGCUUGAUCCAUAGGGACAGAACCCUAGUUAACAUAGCAUGUGAACCGGGGAUGCACUUCAAAUCAAAAAAGACAUGUGAUCCACAAGUCAUCCUACACACUCUACCAGCCAGAGGCAGUCAGCCUGAUAAGAGUGCUGCAAUGGCCUUCUGAAAGCACAGCCGAAAGACCACCAUAAAGGCCAUAACCUACAAACAUGGGGAGCUGUCCUUCAGAAUGCAGAGUAAAUGCAAAUCCGAGAUCUCUCCAUGGUGCUGUAAGAAGAAUACAUGGGUCUGGGAACUAAAGGGUAGAAGCAAGAAUGACCCUACUUACCAUUGUUCUCAAUGAAAACUCUGGAGGAAAUUGUGUUUUCUGCCCCCCAGGACUUUGGGGCUCUGUGGAAUUAGAGGCUCUUGUCCCCAGAGAGGAUGCAUUCUUGCAUUCCACUGAACUAUAGAUGCCAUCUGGACAUACUGAACUCCUUGUGUCCAGGACCAAUAGUGAGAAGAGGAGUCACCAUCUUGGCAGGGGCUAUUAAUUCUGAUCAUUAUAUGGAGCUUUCCCCCCUCGGAGAAGAGAGCCAAAGGAGUGAUGGAGGAGCUACUCCCCUAGCAUGGAUGGAGAAGUAUGUCUGUGCUGUGCAAGGGGUAGACCCUGGCAGCCAUGGGAGUGAACUGCUCUGAUCUCCUUUCAAGAGAGAACCUGCUUCAAGAGGUGUGACUAGCUGACAGCCUACAAAGGCCACAACUUCAGGGUCUACCACAGCAUCCACACUGAGGCCAUACUCUCCCUGGGUUGCCUAAACAAUGACUGAGCACAGAGGGGUACUAGAGCUGGGCCAUUCCUACACAUUCCAUUUUCCUUUGAUGGGCAGUCUUUGCUCUGGAGCCCUUUGAUGGCUCAGGCUUCCUCAGAGCUCUACUACAGUCUGGACAUCAUCCCACCACAUCCUUGGCCCUUCCGUCUCUCCCUUUACAGGUGUCAGAUCAGCACUGUGGUCUGAGGCUCUUCUCACUCAUUGCUGUUCCCUCUCUUCUCCUCCCUCGUAGGCUUUUCUGCCAAUAAAUUUCUUGGCCUCCUAAUUCUAUCUUGGCAUCUGCUUCCUGGAGAAUUCAAACUGACACAAUGGGUUUAAGCUAGUUGGUUAAUUUUUUCUUUAUCUCAAAAGGAGGAGGAAAUUUGGGUAGGUAGAAUUGGAUCAUCACUGUAAUUCCUGACAUAAACUUUCUAUAGUUUUAAAAAGUUAAAUGGAGGGAACAAUUAGAAAAUGUAUAAUUAUCGAAAUGCUUGGUUAUCAAGACUUGAUUGCUCCUAAAUCAAGGAAAUCAGAGGCUAAAACCAGUCACUACUUUCCAAAGGAAAUACCUCUUAUCAAGCCUAUAAAGAAAAUUUAAACAAAAACUUAAAAACAUGUUAAUUGUUCUCAUUCUAGCUAAAACCCAAAACUGGUACACAUUGCUUGAGGAGUUUUGUUUUAUAAAACCAUAGUGCAUUGUAAGUGCUCUCUAUAUAAAUGAUACUUUGUGGGCUUUAUGUGACACUAAUUAACCUUGGUUUUUAUUUCUCCAUCACAUGCGGACAUGAUCUUUCAUUAAAAGUGGUACUUUAUACUGCAGUCAGAUACACUUUCAUUUUGGUCAUGUUAUUUUUCUGCUGCCCCUAAGCAUGGAACCAAAGAAAGUAAAUUAGGGCCAAGAUCGAUUUUGUGUUUAUGAGAUAGCAACCAGGACAUUAUGAAUGCACA